CUCAAAAUUACCAAUUCAGGGGCAGCAACCCAACAACCGAUUGACCGAUUCAUCUGAAAAUUUCAGGGCAGAUAGAUCUUGACCUGAUGAACAUUUUUACCCCGUCAGAUUUGCUCUAAAUGCUUUGGUUUUUGAGUUAUAAGCCAAAAACUGCAUUUUACCCCUAUGUUCUAUUUUUAGCCGUGGCGGCCAUCUUGGUUGGUUGACCGGGUCACGCCACACAUUUUUUAAACUAGAUACCCCAAUGAUGAUUGUGGCCAAGUUUGGUUUGAUUUGGCCCAGUAGUUUCAGAGGAGAAGAUUUUUGUAAAAGUUAACGACGACGGACGACGACGACGGACGACGACGGACGACGACGGACGACGACGGACGACGGACGCCAAGUGAUGAGAAAAGCUCACUUGGCCCUUCGGGCCAGGUGAGCUAAUAAAA
rnacentral:lncRNA from 1 species